GUUUUUCCUACUUUUUUCAGGAUGAUGCUCCAGCCACAGAAGGACCCAGUACCCUCCUCCUGCCUUGGGCUCCAACUGUACCCUCCACUUUGCCUAAAAAAUGCUGAUUUUCCAUAGAUGACUGUUCCAGUAUGGACCUGCAGAGCUUCCACUGGGAGCUGGUGUGACUGGAAAAUUCACCGCUGGAGCGUCACAGACAAUCCCCACAUCAAUCCCCACAUCAAUCCCCAUGGAUGAGCUCAGCUGGCAGCUGCUCCAGGCCCCAUUUGCAGCCUCUGGAGCCACCAGCCCCUUUUCCAGAGGAGGGAAAUGGCAAAGCCAGCACUCCUGGAGCAGAGCCUUUGGAAGGGCUCCCUGAAAUUCCCCGCUCUCAGCAGCCUCCAGCACCAGGCACAGCAGCAGGAAAAGCAGCAAGGAGGAUUUUUUCAUAGCAAGAGAAGGUUCUCUCCCAGAGAUCUGCUCUACCAGCUGAGGAUUCCUCCUUGUGCCACCACCUCCCAUGGAAUAUCAGUGCUUGGACCUUCCCUCUGAGGGUGGGAAACCAGAUCCAUGCCAAUCUCAAACUGGAGAUCAUCAGCCCCAAAGAAAGAAGUAGAUUUCAGUAAUGGAUACAGCGUGGAGAUUUCCUGGAGGAGCCAAUAUUUGAAUUCUUCACAGCUGCAUCUCUUCCUUUUGCUGGGUGGGUUGGUUUUAUUUUUUCCUCUUUAGCCUGAAGUGCUCCCGAGUGCCUCAUGCCGUGUCUCUGCUUCUUAUUUUCAUCCCAGACCUGAUUCAUAGCUGUGCACUGAUAUGAAAUCUAUCAGAUAGAAAAUGCUCACUGGGGUGGGGAGAGUCCCUUCUGCAGUGCUGAGGACACCCCCACGAUGGGAAGGGGAGUUGUGGCUGUAAGAGGAGACCCCAGCACAGAGCAGGGGCCCCCAGGCCUCCAUCAAGUGAAAAAUAAAAAA
rnacentral:lncRNA from 1 species